rnacentral:sRNA from 1 species
AGUUGUUAUACGGCUUUUGUCUUAACGAAGCCACCCAUUACGGUAUGAUGAUGUCAAACGUGAUGCUGAUGCUACAGUUACAGCCCCUGCUGGCGCAGCCUCUCUGAUUCUCUCUCCCUCUCCGCGUCCAGUGCUGGGCUUUUUCAGACAAGUGCAUCUCCUAACCAGGUCACAUUUCAGCCGCGACCCACUCUCCGCCAGUCACCGGAGGCAGACCGCGGGAGGAGAGCUGAGGACAGCCGUGUGCGCUUCGCCAGCAGCGGGGUGGGAGGAAGGACAUUAAAAUACUGCAGAAGUCAA